UACCAAAUCUUGACAUCCUUUGAAAACUCUAGAGAUAGAGCCUUCCCCUUCGGGGGACAAAGUGACAGGUGGUGCAUGGUUGUCGUCAGCUCGUGUCGUGAGAUGUUGGGUUAAGUCCCGCAACGAGCGCAACCCUUAAGCUUAGUUGCCAUCAUUAAGUUGGGCACUCUAGGUUGACUGCCGGUGACAAACCGGAGGAAGGUGGGGAUGACGUCAAAUCAUCAUGCCCCUUAUGAUUUGGGCUACACACGUGCUACAAUGGACAAUACAAAGGGCAGCUAAACCGCGAGGUCAUGCAAAUCCCAUAAAGUUGUUCUCAGUUCGGAUUGUAGUCUGCAACUCGACUACAUGAAGCUGGAAUCGCUAGUAAUCGUAGAUCAGCAUGCUACGGUGAAUACGUUCCCGGGUCUUGUACACACCGCCCGUCACACCACGAGAGUUUGUAACACCCGAAGCCGGUGGAGUAACCAUUUAUGGAGCUAGCCGUCGAAGGUGGGACAAAUGAUUGGGGUGAAGUCGUAACAAGGUAGCCGUAUCGGAAGGUGCGGCUGGAUCACCUCCUU
rnacentral:rRNA from 1 species